rnacentral:lncRNA from 1 species
GAAUCCUUUAAUUUUUUAAAACAAGUUAAAUUUGUCAUUUCCAUUAAUUUACCUGAAACAAUGUCAAUUUUUAAAACAUAUCAUCCUAGUCAGCUUCUUGUGGCAUCCUGGUCCGUGUCAAUUCUUAUUACAGAAAUGAUAUUUCUACGUUAUCCUCUUACAUCUACACCAUAAACAAUACUUCUCUAAUUUUUUAUCAUUAAAUUCUCUCUCUUAUUAAACCUACAUGUAU